rnacentral:rRNA from 1 species
UCCGUAGGCGGUGCGGCAAGUCGGAAGUGAAAUCUCAGGGCUUAACCCUGAGGCUGCUUCCGAAACUGCCGUGCUCGAGUGCGAGAGAGGCGAGUGGAAUUGCAGGUGUAGCGGUGAAAUGCGUAGAUAUCUGCAGGAACAUCCGAGGCGAAAGCGGCUCGCUGGAUCGCAACUGACGCUGAGGGACGAAAGCUGGGGGAGCAAACAGGAUUAGAUACCCUGGUAGUCCUAGCCCUAAACGAUCAGGACUGGGCGUGGGCCUCGUACGGGGCUCGUGCCGCAGCUAACGCGUUAAGUCCUGCGCCUGGGGAGUACGGUCGCAAGGCUGAA